UUUGCCCCUAGAGUUCGAAUUAUUUACAAGAAUGCCAUAAUGGCAAACUUGUAAAUAAUUGAAACUCCAAGUAAAUAUCUAGAUAUUUCCAUAUGAAGUCUUGGUGCCCAAGUCUCUAUUUCAUCUUCUUCAUUUGGUGUGGGUGCCGAAUACACCUUUGAUCAAAACACAAAACUUUCAACUUUGAUUUUCUCUCAAAAUUUUGUUAACGAAAAUUGUCGGAAAUAUUGCGUAGAUCGUGUAUCUCUAUUUGCAUGUUCGUUUGAGAUCCAGCGAGUUUUGUCGCGGAAACCGGCGAGCAAAGGUUUUGAUAUUCGACGGGUGAUAUUUUUUAAUAUUUGGAAUAAGCGAGUACUGCGAAUAGUUUGAGGUGUGGAUUUCCAAUUUCUUGUUCCGGAAAUCCCUGGCUUGUAUAAAGUGAGAAUGACUUUCCUUUAUGUGUCUAGAGUUGCAGUAGCUAGAGUAAUGAACGGUGAUACCUUAAUAGUCGUUGGACUUAUUUAUGCUUUAUAUUUUAUAACGCUAAACUCUGAUAAUAUGUAAUAUGUGUAUGCUGUGCGAAAGUCCAAGCGACUGCACGAGUAUAAAAUGCGGCGAGCGCAUCUGCAUAAUGAAAUGCAGUUAAGUCCAUUAGAAAAAUGGCCUGCAUAGUGAAAUGCAGUAAUUACCAUAGUAAGAUGGUAUGCACCUGAGAUGCAUUAUAAACCAUAGAGAAAUGGUUUUGAAACUAAAAUGCAAUAAUUAAAGAGAAAAAUUAUGUGCA